UACGUAGGGUCCGAGCGUUGUCCGGAUUUACUGGGCGUAAAGAGCGCGCAGGCGGUCGUUCAAGUCGCGUGUGAAAGCCCCCGGCUCAACUGGGGAGGGUCACGCGAUACUGAUCGACUCGAAGGCAGGAGAGGGAAGUGGAAUUCCCGGUGUAGUGGUGAAAUGCGUAGAUAUCGGGAGGAACACCAGUGGCGAAGGCGACUUCCUGGCCUGUUCUUGACGCUGAGGCGCGAAAGCUAGGGGAGCAAACGGG
rnacentral:rRNA from 1 species